rnacentral:rRNA from 1 species
UACGGGGGGGGCAAGCGUUGUUCGGAAUUACUGGGCGUAAAGGGCGCGUAGGUGGCCAACUAAGUCAGACGUGAAAUCCCCCGGCUUAACCGGGGAACUGCGUCUGAUACUGGAUGGCUUGAGUUCGGGAGAGGGAUGCGGAAUUCCAGGUGUAGCGGUGAAAUGCGUAGAUAUCUGGAGGAACACCGGUGGCGAAGGCGGCAUCCUGGACCGACACUGACGCUGAGGAGCGAAAGCCAGGGGAGCAAACGGG